GAUGAACGCUGGCUACAGGCUUAACACAUGCAAGUCGAGGGGAAACGCCGGGGAAGCUUGCUUCCCCGGGCGUCGACCGGCGCACGGGUGAGUAACGCGUGUCCAACCUGCCUCUGACUGAGGGAUAACCCGUCGAAAGUCGGCCUAAUACCUCAUGGCAUCGUCUGCGGGCAUCCAACGACGAUUAAAGAUUUCAUCGGUCAGGGAUGGGGAUGCGUCUGAUUAGCUUGUUGGCGGGGUAACGGCCCACCAAGGCUACGAUCAGUAGGGGUUCUGAGAGGAAGGUCCCCCACAUUGGAACUGAGACACGGUCCAAACUCCUACGGGAGGCAGCAGUGAGGAAUAUUGGGCAAUGGGCGGGAGCCUGAACCAGCCAAGUAGCGUGCAGGAUGACGGCCCUAUGGGUUGUAAACUGCUUUUAUGCGGGGAUAAAGUGAGGGACGUGUCCUUCAUUGCAGGUACCGCAUGAAUAAGGACCGGCUAAUUCCGUG
rnacentral:rRNA from 1 species